GUGUAAUUCAAGCAUCUUUGAGGGGAGGAGAGUGUAAUUUACUCUAAAAAAUAUGGAAGAUAAAUUUUUGACAUUGCCUUCACUAGUUUUUUUUUCUUCUUUUACUUCCAAAUCGUCAUCUUCUUCCUCUACUAUUGCGUUAACAUUAGGUUCCAACUCAUUUUCUCCAACCUCUUCCUCUGCAACUUCAACAAAAUCUGAUUGUAUCUCAUUUACUCCAACUUCUUUUGCAGCUGCCUCAACAUUUACCUCAUCUUCUUCCUCUACUACUCCCUCAAAAUUUGGUUCCAACUCAUUUUCUCUAACUUCUUCAUCUUCAUCAAAACCAGGUUGUAACUCAUUUCUUCUAACUUUUUCUGCUUCUGCCCCAAAAUUUCGCUCCACAGUUUCCAAAACAUAGUCUUCAUCUUCAACUAUCCCUUCAUCAAGAGAAUCUUCUACAAACUCUACAAAAUCUUCUACUCUUUCCAAUUCACAUUCUUCAUCUCCUUCCUCUGCAAUUCUCUCAGAGUCCAUUGAGUCUUCCACUCUUUCAAAUUCAUAUACCUUGCUAUCUUUAUUCGUACUUCUUAUCUUUAUUUAUAGGGACUAUAUGGAAAGAUACUUGAAAGACUCACAAGUGUUUUUUGUGCUUAACAUUAAAUGACAUAAUUUUAUACAUGGCUCAAGAUGGCUGUUUUCAAGAAAGAAACAUGCAAUUACUGAUAGAGGAGGCGUAAAAGGCAUAAAGGGCAAAGUUGGAAACAAGUUAUUUAAUUCCACAUAGAAAUCACAAAGCGUCUAUAAUUUUGCUGCUUUUUUUUUUUUUUCUUUCUAAAACGUCAAUAAUUAAGAGAUGGAGGGAGUAAUUUUCAUACAAACAUCACCCACACAUACCCAAUCAUUUAUGAAGAACAUUCAUCAUGAAUUCAAAAACAUUUAACAACAACAUCAUAAUUUUCACACAUUUAAGUCAAAGUCUCAAGAACAACUUAUUCUAUAUCAUCAAAUAUGAGUUUAAGCACAUAAACAACUUAAAUUCACAAAGUUCAUCAUACCCAUAAUUAACAUAAUCAAUUAGCACGAAAAUCAACUUAACAUAACAUCAAUUUCAUGAAAUUUCAUAAUCAAAUAUGACUCAGAACCACUCUAUCACUCAUAAUCUUUAAAUGAUAAAUAUAAAAUUUCCUCUUACCUUAACCCUUCAAAAGUUACUUUAAUCAUAUGGUCAUUAUUUAAUCAUAUUAUCUUUCACCAUAAGACACUCCUCUCAUUUGAAACAUAUCACACACACAAUGUAUAUAAAAUAUUGAGGUGUUACAUUAUGCACUUAGAAAUGACAUAUAAUUAUUUUUCGAAAUAAUUGAUUCAAUUUUUCUCACAGCUACACAUAUGCAAACGACACUUCUGAACCCAUGGUUGGCGACAUAGGUUCCAAGUACAAUCUUCAUCAGUAGAGCAGAAAAAUAUAUCUGUGAUGUCAUAUAAAAAUAAAAUAAUAUUACUAAAAAGAAAUAGAUGAUUAUCUAUAUGAUAAAGAAUGAAAUUUGAAAAAGGGGUGAACAAGUACAUACUUGCAUUGGUUACAAGAGCACUUAAAAAAAGAAAGAUGAUUAAGGCAUGGGAAAAUUUGAGAAUUUCAACCAUAUUUAACUUUCU
rnacentral:lncRNA from 1 species